CCGUGCUUGCAGGUUUGCUAUGAGGAAAAACAAAUUUAUGGGCUCAAACAAAGUGUGAUAGUGAAAGUCAUUUUGCUUCUAGCUUAAGAACCAAGCCAAGAAAAUAGAUAUCAACUGUGACGCCACACUCAAAAGCUUGUUUGGUGGGAGGGACAAGGUUGGGAUGCUGGAGAUCUCCAAGCUUUUGAGCCGUGACUUCCCGAAAAUCUCCAAGCUUUUGUGGUCCAUGGAGCCAGGGAUGGCUCUUUGGUAAAAGACUUCGUUGUGGAUGGCCUCUUUUAUGGUCCAUGUUAAGUCCCAAGUCCCACUAGGUGGUUAAGCAGAAAAAUCUUGUGAUGGCAUUAAGACUUUCAGACUUUGUUUUUGGGUCUGAUGCAUGUAAAAAGGAUUCCCAGUGUUUCUGUU